rnacentral:rRNA from 1 species
CGCAAGUUAUUGAGUGUAUAAAUUAUACUCAAAAGCGUAGUGAAAGCAAAAAAUUAUUGGUGAGAUCAUUAUUGAGAUUAUAAUGCGCAUCACCGGCCCGCUUUAUCUUGAAUGUAUAUGGCGGAGUUAGAGCGUAUACGCUGAGACCCGAAAGAUGGUGAACUAUGCCUGGUCAGGACGAAGCCAGGGGAAACCCUGGUGGAGGUCCGUAGCGAUUCUGACGUGCAAAUCGAUCGUCUGAACUGGGUAUAGGGGCGAAAGACUAAUCGAACCAUCUAAUAGCUGGUUCCCUCCGAAGUUUCCCUCAGGAUAGCUGGCGCAUAUUUUUAAUAAUAAUUUUAUAAACACAGUCUCUCCCGGUAAAGCUAAUGAUUACAGGUCUUGGGAACGAAACGUUCUCAACCUAUUCUCAAACUUUAAAUGGGUGAGAUGUAUCGGCUUACUUAAUUGAAGUCCGUACAUUUUAUUGGAUGUUUGUGUGCCAAGUGGGCCAUUUUUGGUAAGCAGAACUGGCGCUGUGGGAUGAACCGAACGUUAAGUUACGGCGCCCGAGUGCGACGCUCAUCAAACCCCACAAAAGGUGUUGGUUGCU